UCCAAAAUGAGGUUCCUAGUUUCAACUGAAAACGAGAUUUCAUUGUUUUCAGUUUUUGGUUCGUUUGAAAAAAUAUUUUCACUGAAAAUGAAAACAGAAACCCAACCAAACACAUCUUCAUCACCAUUUUUUAUUUUCACUGAAAAUGAAAACAGAAAACAAUCAAAUCAAACAUCCCUGAUUAUUAACAAUUGCAAGUAGAAUGGGAUUUCAAGAAGCUAGAAUUUCCAGGGCCACUUUUAAUAUUGAGUAAUUUUUUAAUAAAUAAG
rnacentral:lncRNA from 1 species